rnacentral:rRNA from 1 species
GUGAGGAAUAUUGCGCAAUGGAGGCAACUCUGACGCAGCCAUGCCGCGUGCAGGAAGAAGGCGCUACGCGUUGUAAACUGCUUUUAACCGGGAAGAAACCCCAGGACGUGUCCUGGGUUGACGGUACCGGAGGAAUAAGCACCGGCUAACUUCGUGCCAGCAGCCGCGGUAAUACGAAGGGUGCAAGCGUUAUCCGGAUUCAUUGGGUUUAAAGGGUGCGUAGGCGGAACGUUAAGUCAGUGGUGAAAUCCUGCAGCUUAACUGUAGACUUGCCAUUGAUACUGGCGCUCUUGAGUGCGCUUGAAGUGGGCGGAAUGUGCCGUGUAGCGGUGAAAUGCUUAGAUAUGGCACAGAACACCAAUUGCGAAGGCAGCUCACUAAGGCGAUACUGACGCUGAGGCACGAAAGCGUGGGGAUCGAACAGGAUUAGAUACCCCAGUAGUCC